rnacentral:rRNA from 1 species
UACGUAGGGUGCGAGCGUUAAUCGGAAUUACUGGGCGUAAAGCGUGCGCAGGCGGUUUUGUAAGUCAGAUGUGAAAUCCCCGGGCUUAACCUGGGAACUGCGUUUGAAACUACAAGGCUAGAGUGUGGCAGAGGGGGGUGGAAUUCCACGUGUAGCAGUGAAAUGCGUAGAUAUUGCUCGGAAGGCCAACGGCGAAGGCAGGUUACUGGUGCGCAACUGACACUGAGGCACGAAAGCGUGGGGAGCAAACAGG